UACGUAGGGUGCAGGCGUUAAUCGGAAUUACUGGGCGUAAAGCGUGCGUAGGCGGUUAUUUAAGUCAGGUGUGAAAGCCCUGGGCUUAACCUAGGAAUUGCGCUUGAGACUGGAUAGCUUGGAGUGCGGCAGAGGGAGGUGGAAUUCCACGUGUAGCAGUGAAAUGCGUAGAGAUGUGGAGGAACACCGAUGGCGAAGGCAGCCUCCUGGGCCAGCACUGACGCUCAUGCACGAAAGCGUGGGGAGCAAACAGG
rnacentral:rRNA from 1 species